CAAAAGGGCUCUGUUGUGAGUGGCACACGCAGGGCAGCCCGACUGCUCUACGUGCAGAAUGGGCUUCAAGAGAUUUUGGAAGCAUAAUUUUUUGGUACCUGGGCAGCUAGUGAUCAUUGGUCCUGGUACCUGU